AUUGAACGCUGGCGGCAGGCCUAACACAUGCAAGUCGAGCGGCAGCGGGAAAGUAGCUUGCUACUUUUGCCGGCGAGCGGCGGACGGGUGAGUAAUGCCUGGGAAAUUGCCCAGUCGAGGGGGAUAACAGUUGGAAACGACUGCUGAUACCGCAUACGCCCUACGGGGGAAAGCAGGGGACCUUCGGGCCUUGCGCGAUUGGAUAUGCCCAGGUGGGAUUAGCUAGUUGGUGAGGUAAUGGCGCACCAAGGCGACGAUCCCUAGCUGGUCUGAGAGGAUGAUCAGCCACACUGGAACUGAGACACGGUCCAGACUCCUACGGGAGGCAGCAGUGGGGAAUAUUGCACAAUGGGGGAAACCCUGAUGCAGCCAUGCCGCGUGUGUGAAGAAGGCCUUCGGGUUGUAAAGCACUUUCAGCGAGGAGGAAAGGUUGAUGCCUAAUACGUAUCAACUGUGACGUUACUCGCAGAAGAAGCACCGGCUAACUCCGUGCCAGCAGCCGCCGUAACAC
rnacentral:rRNA from 1 species